AUGGGGGGAAGGGGAAGGGCGUUCUGAGUAUAGAGGCUUUUCAUUGGCUGAUUUGUGGCAGUCUCUUAUUGGCUGGGCUGUUGCUGGGGGAAGAAAGGCUCCCCUUCAGCUGGCGGAGGAAAGGCAGCGUGCACGUGCAAGUUGGGAUCUGCACUCGACAGAGGCCAAGGGCCGAGGAGCUUCACCUGCAGCGCCCCCACCUCGUUCUACGAGAGGUUUCCCUGUGUCGAUUCUCACACUCCACACCUGGGUCAGAGGAUCGGGCCCUGAGUCUCGGCCUGGCUUGGUGCUGGCUACAGAGACAGGGCAAGGAGAGCAGAGGACGGGGUCCCCCCGCCCGGUCCUGACAACAGCCGCUGUGCGGUGAAGCCAGAGGUCCUCAGCCACCCCGAGCAGUCCUCUCUGCUCUCCUCAGAGCACCCCUUCAUUGUGCCUGGAGGGCGCUUUGUCGAAUUCUACUACUGGGACUCCUACUGGGUGAUGGAGGGGCUGCUCCUGUCUGAGAUGGCCGCGACCGUGAAGGGCAUGCUGCAGAACUUCCUGGACCUGGUGCGAACGUAAGAGGGGGCGG